rnacentral:misc_RNA from 1 species
GAUGAAGAACGCAGCGAAACGCGAUAAGUAAUGUGAAUUGCAGAAUUUAGUGAAUCAUCGAAUCUUUGAACGCACAUUGCGCCCGCCAGUAUUCUGACGGGCAUGCCUGUCCGAGCGUCAUUACAACCCUCAAGCUCAGCUUGGUGUUGGGCCCCGCCGCCCCGGCGGGCCCUAAAGUCAGUGGCGGUGCCGUCCGGCUCCGAGCGUAGUAAUUCUUCUCGCUCUGGAGGUCCGGUCGUGUGCUCGCCAGCAACCCCCAAUUUUUUUCAGGUUGACCUCGGAUCAGGUAGGGAUACCCGCUGAACUUAAGCAUAUCAAUAAGCGGAGGA